rnacentral:rRNA from 1 species
AUUGAGCAAUCGAGAGGCACGUUAGUGGCGAAAGGGUGAGUAAUGCAUAGAUAACGUACCCCGAACUCUGGGAUAGCUGCGGGACUUCGGUUCCUUUGCGAAAGUGCAGAUAAUACCAGAUGAGAUCUUAGUGUCGAAUGGCACAGAGAUCAAAGGUUUCGGCCGGUUUGGGAGCGGUCUAUGUCGUAUCAGCUUGUUGGUGAGGUAACGGCUCACCAAGGCUUCGACGCGUAGCGGGACUGAGAGGUUGACCCGCCACAUCGGGACUGAGACACUGCCCGGACCUCCACGGAGGGCUGCAGUAACGAAUCUUGCGCAAUGGGCGAAAGCCUGACGCAGCAACGCCGUGUGUAGGACGAAGCCCCUCGGGGUGUAAACUACUGUCAGAGUGAAGAAAGAUCUGAUCGAUCUCAAAGGAAGCACCGGCUAACUCCGUGCCAGCAGCCGCGGUAAUACGGAGGGUGCAAGCGUUGUU